GGUGUGCCUAAUACAUGCAAGUCGUACGCACUGGCCCAACUGAUUGAUGGUGCUUGCACCUGAUUGACGUUGGAUCACCAGUGAGUGGCGGACGGGUGAGUAACACGUAGGUAACCUGCCCCGGAGCGGGGGAUAACAUUUGGAAACAGAUGCUAAUACCGCAUAACAACAAAAGCCACAUGGCUUUUGUUUGAAAGAUGGCUUUAGCUAUCACUCUGGGAUGGACCUGCGGUGCAUUAGCUAGUUGGUAAGGUAACGGCUUACCAAGGCGAUGAUGCAUAGCCGAGUUGAGAGACUGAUCGGCCACAAUGGAACUGAGACACGGUCCAUACUCCUACGGGAGGCAGCAGUAGGGAAUCUUCCACAAUGGGCGCAAGCCUGAUGGAGCAACACCGCGUGAGUGAAGAAGGGUUUCGGCUCGUAAAGCUCUGUUGUUGGAGAAGAACGUGCGUGAGAGUAACUGUUCGCGCAGUGACGGUAUCCAACCAGAAAGUCACGGCUAACUACGUGCCAGCAGCCGCGGUAAUACGUAGGUGGCAAGCGUUAUCCGGAUUUAUUGGGCGUAAAGCGAGCGCAGGCGGUUGCUUAGGUCUGAUGUGAAAGCCUUCGGCUUAACCGAAGAAGUGCAUCGGAAACCGGGCAACUUGAGUGCAGAAGAGGACAGUGGAACUCCAUGUGUAGCGGUGGAAUGCGUAGAUAUAUGGAAGAACACCAGUGGCGAAGGCGGCUGUCUUGGUCUGCAACUGACGCUGAGGCUC
rnacentral:rRNA from 1 species